rnacentral:rRNA from 1 species
GCCAGCCCGCUCAAGAACUCAAAGGAAUUGACGGGACCCCGCACAAGCGGUGGAUCAUGUUGUUUAAUUCGAUGAUACGCGAAGAACCUUACCAGGUCUUGACAUCCCCCCGCGAUGCUUUAGAGAUAAAGCGGAGGUAUUCGGGGAGACAGGUGGUGCAUGGUUGUCGUCAGCUCGUGUCGUGAGAUGCUGGGUUAAGUCCCGCAACGAGCGCAACCCCUAUUGCUAGUUACCAUCAUUAAGUUGGGGACUCUAGCGAGACUGCCAGUGAUAAACUGGAGGAAGGUGGGGAUGACGUCAAAUCAUCAUGCCCCUUAUGACCUGGGCUACAAACGUGAUACAAUGGCUGGAACAAAGGGAUGCGAAGCAGUGAUGUGGAGACGAAACCCAAUAAAAACAGUCUCAGUUCGGAUUGAAGUCUGCAACUCGACUUCAUGAAGUCGGAAUCGCUAGUAAUCGCGGAUCAGAACGCCGCGGUGAAUACGUUCUCGGGGUUU